rnacentral:rRNA from 1 species
CAAUAGCGUAUAUUAAAGUUGUUGCAGUUAAAAAGCUCGUAGUUGAAUUUUUGCUUGCCGCCGAUGUCGGAACUUCCGUACGUUCGGCGGCGUGCAUCCUUGGGCGGAACCUGUGUGGCAUUAGGUUGUCGUGCAGGGGAUGCUCAUCGUUUACUGUGAAAAAAUUAGAGUGUUCAAAGCAGGCUUACGCCGUUGAAUAUAUUAGCAUGGAAUAAUAAGAUAGGACCUUGGUACUAUUUUGUUGGUUUACGCACCGAGGUAAUGAUUAACAGGGACAGUUGGGGGUAUUCGUAUUCCAUUGUCAGAGGUGAAAUUCUUGGAUUUCUGGAAGACGAACUACUGCGAAAGCAUUUGUCAAGGAUGUUUUCAUUAA